rnacentral:rRNA from 1 species
UGGGGAAUAUUGCACAAUGGGCGCAAGCCUGAUGCAGCAACGCCGCGUGAGGGAUGACGGCCUUCGGGUUGUAAACCUCUUUUAGCAGGGAAGAAGCGAAAGUGACGGUACCUGCAGAAAAAGCACCGGCUAACUACGUGCCAGCAGCCGCGGUAAUACGUAGGGUGCAAGCGUUGUCCGGAAUUAUUGGGCGUAAAGAGCUCGUAGGCGGUCUGUCGCGUCUGCUGUGAAAUCCCGAGGCUCAACCUCGGGCCUGCAGUGGGUACGGGCAGACUAGAGUGCGGUAGGGGAGAAUGGAACUCCUGGUGUAGCGGUGGAAUGCGCAGAUAUCAGGAAGAACACCGAUGGCGAAGGCAGUUCUCUGGGCCGUAACUGACGCUGAGGAGCGAAAGCGUGGGGAGCGAACAGGAUUAGAUACCCUGGUAGUCCACGCCGUAAAACGUUGGGCGCUAGAUGUGGGGACCAUUCCACGGUUUCCGUGUCGCAGCUAACGCAUUAAGCGCCCCGCCUGGGGAGUACGGCCGCAAGGCU